GACGAACGCUGGCGGCAUGCUUAACACAUGCAAGUCGAACGGAAAGGCCCUGCUUUUGUGGGGUGCUCGAGUGGCGAACGGGUGAGUAACACGUGAGUAACCUGCCCUUGACUUUGGGAUAACUUCAGGAAACUGGGGCUAAUACCGGAUAGGAGCUCCUGCUGCAUGGUGGGGGUUGGAAAGUUUCGGCGGUUGGGGAUGGACUCGCGGCUUAUCAGCUUGUUGGUGGGGUAGUGGCUUACCAAGGCUUUGACGGGUAGCCGGCCUGAGAGGGUGACCGGCCACAUUGGGACUGAGAUACGGCCCAGACUCCUACGGAAGGCAGCAGUGGGGAAUAUUGCACAAUGGGCGGAAGCCUGAUGCAGCAACGCCGCGUGCGGGAUGACGGCCUUCGGGUUGUAAACCGCUUUCGCCUGUGACGAAGCGUGAGUGACGGUAAUGGGUAAAGAAGCACCGGCUAACUACGUG
rnacentral:rRNA from 1 species